UGUCGUCAGCUCGUGUUGUGAAAUGUUGGGUUAAGUCCCGCAACGAGCGCAACCCUUAUCCUUUGUUGCCAGCGGUCCGGCCGGGAACUCAAAGGAGACUGCCAGUGAUAAACUGGAGGAAGGUGGGGAUGACGUCAAGUCAUCAUGGCCCUUACGACCAGGGCUACACACGUGCUACAAUGGCGCAUACAAAGAGAAGCGACCUCGCGAGAGCAAGCGGACCUCAUAAAGUGCGUCGUAGUCCGGAUUGGAGUCUGCAACUCGACUCCAUGAAGUCGGAAUCGCUAGUAAUCGUGGAUCAGAAUGCCACGGUGAAUACGUUCCCGGGCCUUGUACACACCGCCCGUCACACCAUGGGAGUGGGUUGCAAAAGAAGUAGGUAGCUUAACCUUCGGGAGGGCGCUUACCACUUUGUGAUUCAUGACUGGGGUGAAGUCGUAACAAGGUAACCGUAGGGGAACCUGCGGUUGGAUCACCUCCUUACCUUAAAGA
rnacentral:rRNA from 1 species